CAAGAAAGAAGAUUCCACCUAAACAUUAGGAAGAGCUUCCUGACAGUAAGAGCUGUUCGGCAGUGGAAUUUGCUGCCAAGAAGUGUGGUGGAGUCUCCUUCUUUGGAGGUCUUUAAGCAGAGGCUUGACAGCCAUAUGUCAAGAAUGCUUUGAAGGUGUUUCCUGCUUGGACUGGGUGGCCCUUGUGGUCUCUUCCAAUUCUAUGAUUCUAUGUGAAGUACCAUGCAGACAUUUGAAUUUGGGUGGGGGAUUGCUCUAGAGCCCUAUGGGGGCACCAGGCACACGAAAGGAAGAGAGACCUUAAUCCUGCUGGCCCUUUUAUCCCAACUGUGCUGCCCCUCUCCACUGUACAGAGGACAUCCAUAGAGGGGAGCCUGCUUUAUGUACAUAUGCUUCCCCCCCCCUAAUUGCAUCAUUGUUCAAAAUUUGCCAUGCACAUUUUGCCCCUGGCUAUAGGCCACUUGCGAUCAAGUGAAGAUGCCCAGGUGCCAGGACAGCACCCGACGUCUCCACCAUCUGGAGGUGCAUGCCUUGGAUUCGGACUGUUUUCACACGUUUAGCAACACACCCUUUAGAAUUUGAUCUGUUAUACAGUGGUACCUCGGUUUAAGUACACAAUUGGUUCCGGAAGUCUGUACUUAACCUGAAGCGAACUUUCCCAUUGAAAGUAAUGGAAAGUGGAUUAAUCCGUUCCAGACGGGUCAGCGGAGUACUUAAACUGAAAGUACGCAAACCGAAGCGUACUUAAACCGAGGUAUGACUGUAUUUUAUCCGCACAAUCAGAAUGAAUUUCAGGAACCAAAAAGUCGUAUCGGGGAAAAUACGACUUUUGAACUGCCUGUCCCCAAAAUGGCAACUUAAGGCAUUCCAUUAUGCCGAGUGGUUUUUGCCAAGCAGUGUUGUCACUGGUGUUUUGAAACAAAAGACAGAACAGCCUAGUCAGCCAUGGAAGUGUCCAUUCUUGAGUGUGCGCGUGCUCACCAGCUGCUCCAAAUUCCAUGACAUAGGAAUCAAAUUGGGAGCAUUAUUUGUAAAAGGGCAUUCUUACUAUUUUUACAGUUUGGUUUUUUGUGUGAACAAGAUGUUCCUAGCAGGGUAUUUCCUUGUUAUCUUUGCAAAGGCGUUAACGUGUUGUUUCACACACACACACACACACACACACGGCACAGUAAGUUUUUCCACAUUAAACCCCUUGCGACAGCUAGCCUGCCCUAGCUUACAUUUACCCUAAGAGAACACUGCUUCAGUGGAACUCUUGCUAAGGACAGCAGAUAGCAGAGAUCGCAUGUUCCACCCAAGUUGGCGUUACCACCUUGCAAUGGAAUGUGUUGCUUUGCUUCCAGUGAAUCUCUCCCAGCCUCGCUCUGACAUUCAAGCUGCUCUGUGGCUGACGCUUUUAAACUUGGAAGCUCUUUACCCAGCACGCAGCUAAAGUCCUGCGGAUUGUUUUCUCUCUCCUUACCGCUGCUCCCUGGAGCGUUCUGUUGCUGCUGCUGGGCUGUUGUGUUUUUUAAUACAUAUAUAUAUGGAAUUCCAAAGCAGGGGGCACUCCUAUGCCAUUCCAGAGAACGAAGAAAUCUCGCACACCCAUCAGAAUGUGCACAACGACCACGAAAAUGAAGGCGAGAGAGCUGUGUCAAAAUUGCAACGCAGGCACAGUGACGUAAAAGUAUACAAAGAAAUAUGUGACUUUUAUGCAAGAUUCAACAUGGCCAACGCUCUGGCCAAUGCCAUGUGUGAGCGCUGCCGGGGAGGUUUCGCACCUGCGGAGAAGAUUGUGAACAGCAAUGGCGAGCUGUAUCACGAACAGUGUUUCGUGUGUGCCCAGUGCUUCCAGCAGUUCCCCGAAGGGCUUUUUUAUGAGUUUGAAGGAAGGAAAUAUUGUGAACAUGACUUUCAGAUGCUUUUUGCUCCUUGCUGCCAUCAGUGUGGAGAGUUCAUUAUUGGUCGUGUUAUUAAAGCUAUGAACAACAGCUGGCAUCCAGAAUGUUUCUGCUGUGAUAUCUGCCAACAGGUAUUGGCAGACAUUGGAUUUGUGAAGAAUGCUGGCAGACACCUUUGCCGUCCUUGCCACAAUCGUGAGAAAGCCAGGGGCAUGGGCAAAUACAUUUGCCAAAAGUGCCAUGCUAUCAUCGAAGAACAACCCCUCAUCUUCAAAAAUGACCCUUACCACCCUGAUCACUUCAACUGUGCCAAUUGCGGAAAGGAACUAACUGCUGACGCCCGAGAACUGAAGGGGGAACUGUACUGCUUGCCUUGCCAUGACAAAAUGGGCGUCCCCAUCUGUGGAGCAUGCAGGAGGCCAAUUGAAGGACGAGUGGUGAAUGCAAUGGGCAAACAGUGGCAUGUGGAGCAUUUUGUUUGUGCGAAGUGUGAGAAGCCAUUCCUAGGCCACCGUCACUACGAGAGGAAGGGGCUGGCGUAUUGUGAGACCCACUACAACCAGCUCUUUGGUGAUGUUUGCUUCCACUGUAAUCGUGUGAUUGAAGGAGAUGUUGUGUCGGCAUUGAACAAGGCAUGGUGCGUGAACUGCUUCGCGUGCUCUACUUGCAACACUAAGCUAACACUCAAGGACAAGUUUGUUGAAAUCGAUCUCAAACCUGUCUGCAAACACUGUUACGAGAAAAUGCCGGAAGAAUUUAAGAGGAGGCUCGCCAAACGGGAGCGAGAAGCAAAGGAUAAAGACAAACAGAAAAAGAAAAAGCCUGUCUGCCUGUAAACAUGCUUUCUUCCUACCUCCCAGCAACUGCGCUCCUUCCUUUCUUCCUUUCGAAACAAGUUUGUGGAAUUUGAUAUGAAGCCUGUCUGCAAGAAGUGCUAUGAGAAGUUUCCACUGGAGCUCAAGAAGCGACUGAAGAAAUUGGCUGAGACGUUGGGAAGAAAGUGAGGUCCUCCUCUCCAGAUCUCAUCUUGCUGUGCAAAGUUUAGGAAGUGAUAUUACAGACUUAUUUUUGUUGAGUCUAUGAAACCUAAGUGCAAAAAAGAGAGAGUAUUCCUCUGCAUGACUAGCUUCAUAUUAAAAUGUUUGCCUCGCUACCUUGACAGUAUACCUCUAAAAAACUCUUUACAUGUUAUGUAACCUCAUAUCCAACCAUUUAAAAAAAUCUGUAUUUUACACGUAUAUAAAUUUGUAGAUAUAUACAUUGUAUAUUUGCUUAGUAAGGGGCAACUGAAAAAGACCCAAAUUGGUGCUGAAUAGCCUAAUUUAACAUAUCUAGCAGAUCCCCUCACCAAGUAGACCAAACCUCAUUUUACACUAAACUCUGGCAUUGUUUGUUCUGCCAUGCAAGCGAAGCACAUGGUCUGUUCAAGCAAAUACCCUGAGGCUGCAAUUCUAUACAGACUUACCCAGGAGUAUGUACCAUUAAAUUCUGUGGGACUUCUUAGUAGACAUAUGUAGGAUUGAUUGCACAGCCAAACCCCAACAAAGGUGUUUGGCUGGAUCGUGGCAGUAGAAUUGAAUUGCUUCCGACACAUAGACAUUCUUGGUCUUGAGCUCAAUGUCUUCUACCAGUGUUCUUGUGGCAUAAGUGAGGGAUUAGAGGAUUCUAGCUGCUAAAGUACCUUUUCCUUUGCUGUGAGCCCUGAUACAGUAUACAGUGGUGCCUUGACUUACAAAUUUAAUCCGUUCCGAAGGCACCUUCGUAGGUCGAAAAAUUCCUAAGUCGAUUUCCCAUAGGAAUGCAUUGGAAGUUGAAAAAUUCGUAAGUUGAAGCAACCCCAUCUAAAAAUUUGUAAGCUGAAAAAACCCUAUCUAAAACCGCCGCUUCCGUUCGGGUGUCGAGAAAUUCGUAAGUGUGCGGCCAUUUGCCCCAUUCGUAAGUUGAAAAAUUCGGUUGCCGAAUCGUCCGUAAGUCGAGGUACCACUGUACGUUAAAAAUUAGGAGUCCAAUGCACACACUUCAUGUUACUGAAGCAAGGAGUUAUUGUUGCUUGAAGUCUGUUUGCAAACUAUUGCUGUUGCCCUGAGGAAAACUUUAAAAAACGAAACGAACUAGCAUUCUCAACAUUAGAAGUCCAUAUUCUGCCAGGAAGCCUUGUUGAUCAUGCCUGCUAACUUACCAGAAAGAACUCUAAAUGUCCAAGACUGCAGUCUUAUAUCCACUCAUCUGGAAGCAAGCCCUAGUGAACUGAGUGGGUUUACUUUUGAGUAGACACAUCUAGAAUUGCAUUGUAAAUUACAGAGAUUCCAUUCUUCACAGCUCCUUGGAUGCGAAUCAUAGCGAAGCCUAUACAACAAAUGCUUUGUUCAGAGAUUAAUAGUGUUUGUAAUUAAUUGGUGUGAGCAGAGUCUUGGCUGUCGUUCUCAAAGAACUACAGAAAGACAACUCUGGGAUGCGUCGUUAGAAGACUGCGGCUCAGAGCUGGAAACGGCAGCAUAAUAGUUCUAUAUCAUGAGAAAUAUGUCUACGCAGAGCUACUUGAAUUUUGUGGAUUCCUUCUAUGUAACAGAGAUAUUCCUCUGUGCUUUUGUAUUUCAUUUCCUUGUCGUGCCUUAUUCUGCCAUACUUAAAGCAAUAUUAGUCAAAAUAUGUACCCUUUGUAUACUGUUAUUUUGUAUUUUUAUGCAGAAAAUAUAUGCCCAGUAUUUGAAAAGGUUAAGCAUUUUUAAGAUUUGGUUUUUUUCCCUAAUGAUGGAAGAUGCUUGAGUUUUUCAAAAACACAUUUUCCGACUCAGCUUGGUUAUUUUUAAAUAGUAUCUGAAAUAGAAAUCUGAAAGCACCCUUGUUCCCACUGAAUGCCUCUUGUGCCACUAGGUCAAUAAAAUACACUGUUAAC